UUUUCCACUGCACAUGGAGCUUUCUCUUUGUUCGAAUCCCCCAUCCUUCUCUGUACAGGGGGGCUGUUUUCUUCUUUUCUUCUUGUGUAUUAAACUUUUAGCUACUUAAAACAGCUCCACGCAAGUCGGUGUCUUUUUAAACAAACCGGCGUGAGACUAAGAACCCUGGUGUUCCUCCAGUCAUUGGAGGCUUAUCAUAAGGAUUCUACCUUACAUAGCAAAAGAAGAACUUGACAGAUGUAAGUUAAGGACUUUGAGAAUAAGCAACCUGGUUAUCCAGAUGAAACCAAUGUAAUCACAACGGUGUUUAAAAUAGACGAGGAGGCUCGCAGUCAGAGAGGAGCUGGGACACUGGGGAGGGAUGUGGUUUGAGGAAGGAAGGGGCCAUGGAACCAGAAAUGUGGGAGCACCUGGAAGAUAAGAAGCAGAGGAUCCAGUUCUCUCCUCUGGAGCAUCCAGAAGGAAUACAGACCUACUGACACCUUAACAUUAGCUCAGUGAGACUUCUGACCUCCAGAACUACAGGGUGAUACAUUUAUGUUGUGUGAGGCCAAUAAGGCUGUGGUGAUAAACAGCAGCUUUGGAAACUAAUGCAAGGGGGAAGACAUGUCUUUCACCUCAGUGAGCCGCAUGCUUGUCCUUUGUUCUUGGAAAUAUUUUCACCUUGUCUUCUGGUGUCAUUUGUGAAAAGUGACAGAGAAAAUUUUUCCGAGAGAAGAGCUAAUACGAGAAUUUGUUUUUAGCUAAAAAAUCUCUUUGGUAAAUUCCCAUGAUUAUCUCUUAUAUGAUCUGGAUAUCACAGAGUUUGGGGUUAGAUCUCACAGCACAUGAUAGGAGGAAGAGACUUUUGUUUGUUGGUUUAUUUUCGUAUUAGGAGGGAAAAUUAGAUUUUCAGCACACAAUCUGAGAGGGACAGACUGAGUCAGAGCUAUUGUAAGAGAAAGAGAAGAUGUGGAAGGAGUCAGGGAAAUGAGACAUGUGUCCCUGCUCCCAAAUCUAAAAGAAAGUCAAUGAUUUUAGAAGGUGAAGCAAAGCUCUUCACCUUCCGUCUUCUUAUGAAGGAUCAAAUUCUUCCCAGAGUCCCUGCCCCUCCUUCACUCCCCUGACAUUGCACUGUGGAGCUAAUCACAUGCGCCCUUAAUCC
rnacentral:lncRNA from 1 species